AGUGAACGCUGGCGGUAGGCCUAACACAUGCAAGUCUAACGGCAGCACAGUAAGAGCUUGCUCUUACGGGUGGCGAGUGGCGGACGGGUGAGGAAUACAUCGGAAUCUACUUUUUCGUGGGGGAUAACGUAGGGAAACUUACGCUAAUACCGCAUACGACCUACGGGUGAAAGCAGGGGAUCUUCGGACCUUGCGCGAUUGAAUGAGCCGAUGUCGGAUUAGCUAGUUGGCGGGGUAAAGGCCCACCAAGGCGACGAUCCGUAGCUGGUCUGAGAGGAUGAUCAGCCACACUGGAACUGAGACACGGUCCAGACUCCUACGGGAGGCAGCAGUGGGGAAUAUUGGACAAUGGGCGCAAGCCUGAUCCAGCCAUACCGCGUGGGUGAAGAAGGCCUUCGGGUUGUAAAGCCCUUUUGUUGGGAAAGAAAAGCAGCAGGUUAAUACCCCGCUGUUCUGUCGGUACCCAAAGAAUAAGCACCGGCUAACUUCGUG
rnacentral:rRNA from 1 species